UACGUACGAGGCGAGCGUUAUCCGGAAUUAUUGGGCGUAAAGCGCGCGCAGGUGGCUUGUUAAGUAGGGCGUGAAAUCUCCCGGCCUAACUGGGAGGGGUCGCCCUAGACUGGGAAGCUUGAGGCUGGCAGAGGUAGGUGGAAUUCCUGGUGUAGUGGUGAAAUGCGUAGAGAUCAGGAGGAACACCGGUGGCGAAGGCGGCCUACUGGGCCAGCACUGACGCUGGAGGCGACGGAAAGCUCGGGGAGCGAACGGG
rnacentral:rRNA from 1 species